GACGUAGGGCGCAAGCGUUGUCCGGAUUUAUUGGGCGUAAAGGGCUCGUAGGCGGCUUGUCGCGUCUGUCGUGAAAGCUCAGGGCUUAACUCUGAGUUUGCGGUGGAUACGGGCAGGCUUGAGGCAAGUAGGGGAGAACGGAAUUCCAUGUGUAGCGGUGAAAUGCGCAGAUAUGUGGAGGAACAACCGGCGGCGAAGGCGGCGCUCUGGGCCGGAACUGACGCUGAGGAGCGAAAGCGUGGGUAGCAAACAGGAUUAGAUACCCU
rnacentral:rRNA from 1 species